CCUACGGGUGACAGCAGUGAGGAAUAUUGGUCAAUGGACGAGAGUCUGAACCAGCCAAGUAGCGUGAAGGAUGACUGCCCUAUGGGUUGUAAACUUCUUUUAUAUGGGAAUAAAAUGUUCCACGUGUGGGAUUUUGUAUGUACCAUAUGAAUAAGGAUUGGCUAACCCCGUGCCAGCAGCCGGGGUAAUUCGGAGGAUCCGAGCGUUAUCCGGAUUUAUUGGGUUUAAAGGGAGCGUAGGUGGAUUGUUAAGUCAGUUGUGAAAGUUUGCGGCUCAACCGUAAAAUUGCAGUUGAAACUGGCAGUCUGGAGUAAAGUAGAGGUGGGCGGAAUUCGUGGUGUAGCGGUGAAAUGCUUAGAUAUCACGAAGAACUCCGAUUGCGAAGGCAGUUCACUGGACUGCAACUGACACUGAGGCUCGAAAGUGUGGGUAUCAAACAGGAUUAGAUACCCCGGUAGUC
rnacentral:rRNA from 1 species